rnacentral:rRNA from 1 species
CCUACGGGAGGCAGCAGUGGGGAAUAUUGCACAAUGGGGGAAACCCUGAUGCAGCGACGCCGCGUGAAGGAAGAAGUAUUUCGGUAUGUAAACUUCUAUCAGCAGGGAAGAAAAUGACGGUACCUGACUAAGAAGCCCCGGCUAACUACGUGCCAGCAGCCGCGGUAAUACGUAGGGGGCAAGCGUUAUCCGGAUUUACUGGGUGUAAAGGGAGCGUAGGCGGUUUAGCAAGUCAGAAGUGAAAGCCCGGGGCUCAACUCCGGGACUGCUUUUGAAACUGUUGGACUAGAUUGCAGGAGAGGUAAGCGGAAUACCUGGUGUAGCGGUGAACUGCAGAGAUAUUAGGAAGAACACCAGUUGCGAAGGCGGCUUGCCGGAAUGUAAAUGACGCUGAGGCUCGAAAGCGUGGGCAGCGAACAGGAUUAGAUACCCGUGUAGUC